rnacentral:lncRNA from 1 species
GUUUUUUAUGGUAGUAUGGUGACAGAAAGGCUAUCUAGAAGUCCCAAUGGUAGACUUAAUGCUACAAGUAAGUCUUCCUCUUUGCUAUCACAUCAUUCUCAUGUGGAUCCAGGAUACAAAAUCUGAGCACCACUACAUAUUGGUAUCUGAUAAACGACUGCAGUGGCUGGAGAGAGAGAGAGAGAGAGAGAGAGAGAGAGGAGAGAGAGAGGAGAUUUGGAGUUGGAAUCACAGCAGCAGCAGCAUCACCAGCAAGAAGAUCUUAAGGCCAUGAGAAUUCUCCACCAGAAUUCUCAACCCAGUGGCAAGGUGAGCUUCACUGUGGUUGCGGUGCUCUAGAGCAGGUUAAUGACCAUGCGUUUCUCUACAGGGGCAUGGUGCUGUAUAAAUCCAAUUAGUCUGGAGACAAGGAGCAUCAUCACACCCAUGGAAGUGUAUCAAUUAUUGUGACACACUAGGUAGGAUCCAAUCCAACUUCAGCAACUUGCAGAGAAAGAGAGAACUAAGAAAAACAAAGAAUAGUGGCCAUGGCCAUAUCUGGACAAAUUAAGUGAGAUUGUGUUGUAAUACUACAUUGUUUAUAAAGUGUCUCCUGCC